rnacentral:rRNA from 1 species
AUACGGAGGGUCCAAGCGUUAUCCGGAAUCAUUGGGUUUAAAGGGUCCGCAGGCGGUCAAUUAAGUCAGAGGUGGAAGCCCAUCGCUCAACGAUGGAACUGCCUUUGAUACUGGUUGACUUGAGUUAUACGGAAGUAGAUAGAAUAAGUAGUGUAGCGGUGAAAUGCAUAGAUAUUACUUAGAAUACCGAUCGCGAAGGCAGUCUACUACGUAUAUACUGACGCUGAGGGACGAAAGCGUGGGGAGCGAACAGGAUUAGAAACCCUAGUAGUCC